rnacentral:rRNA from 1 species
GACGAACGCUGGCGGCGUGCUUAACACAUGCAAGUCGAACGGAAAGGCCCUGCUUUUGCGGGGUGCUCGAGUGGCGAACGGGUGAGUAACACGUGAGUAACCUGCCCUUGACUUUGGGAUAACUUCAGGAAACUGGGGCUAAUACCGGAUAGGAGCUCCUGCUGCAUGGUGGGGGUUGGAAAGUUUCGGCGGUGUGGGAUGGACUCGCGGCUUAUCAGCUUGUUGGUGGGGUAGUGGCUUACCAAGGCUUUGACGGGUAGCCGGCCUGAGAGGGUGACCGGCCACAUUGGGACUGAGAUAGGGCCCAGACUCCUACGGGAGGCAGCAGUGGGGAAUAUUGCACAAUGGGCGGAAGCCUGAUGCAGAAACGCCGCGUGCGGGAUGACGGCCUUCGGGUUGUAAACCGCUUUCGCCUGUGACGAAGCGUGAGUGACGGUAAUGGGUAAAGAAGCACCGGCUAACUACGUG